CACGGAAGGGGCAAGCGUUGUUCGGAAUCAUUGGGCGUAAAGGGCGCGUAGGUGGCUCUGUGUGUCUACCGUGAAAGCGUACGGCUCAACCGUAUUUUGUCGGUAGAAACUGCAGGACUUGAGGCUGGGAGGGGCUGGUGGAAUUCCCUGUGUAGCGGUGAAAUGCGUAGAGAUGGGGGAGAACACUCGUGGCGAAGGCGGCCAGCUAGACCAGUUCUGACACUGAGGCGCGACAGCGUGGGGAGCAAACAGG
rnacentral:rRNA from 1 species